rnacentral:rRNA from 1 species
UACGGGGGGGCAAGCGUUGUUCGGAAUUACUGGGCGUAAAGGGCGCGUAGGCGGCCUGCUAAGUCGGACGUGAAAUCCCUCGGCUCAACCCGGGAACUGCGUCCGAUACUGGUGGGCUUGAAUCCGGGAGAGGGAUGCGGAAUUCCUGGUGUAGCGGUGAAAUGCGCAGAUAUCAGGAGGAACACCGGUGGCGAAGGCGGGUCUCUGGGCCGAUACUGACGCUGAGGAGCGAAAAGCGUGGGGGAGCGAACAGG